AUUUAGAGAAGUAAAAGUCGUAACAAGGUCUCCGUAGGUGAACCUGCGGAGGGAUCAUUACAGAGUUCUCGCCCUCACGGGUAGACCUCCCACCCACUGUGAUUGUUACCGUCGUUGCUUUGGCGGGCCGCUGGGCCCAGCUCAGCCACCGGCCCCGGCUGGUGCGCGCCCGCCAGAGGCUCCGCAAACUCUUGAUGUUAACGUCGUCUGAGUACUAUAUAAUAGUUAAAACUUUCAACAACGGAUCUCUUGGUUCUGGCAUCGAUGAAGAACGCAGCGAAAUGCGAUAAGUAAUGCGAAUUGCAGAAUUCAGUGAGUCAUCGAAUCUUUGAACGCACAUUGCGCCCUGUGGUAUUCCGCAGGGCAUGCCUGUUCGAGCGUCAUUUCAACCCUCAAGCUCCGCUUGGUGUUGGGCCCUGCCCCCGCGGCCGGCCCCAAAGACAGUGGCGGCGCCGCUUGGCCCUAAGCGUAGUACAUCUCUCGCUCUAGGACCCGGCGGUGGCCUGCCAGAACCCCAAACUCAUGUGGUUGACCUCGGAUCAGGUAGGGAUACCCGCUGAACUUAAGCAUAUCAUAA
rnacentral:rRNA from 1 species